rnacentral:rRNA from 1 species
AGUGAACGCUGGCGGUAGGCCUAACACAUGCAAGUCGAAUGGCAGCACAGGAGAGCUUGCUCUCUGGGUGGCGAGUGGCAGACGGGUGAGGAAUACAUCGGAAUCUACUCUGUCGUGGGGGAUAACGUAGGGAAACUUACGCUAAUACCGCAUACGACCUACGGGUGAAAGCAGGGGACCUUCGGGCCUUGCGCGAUUGAAUGAGCCGAUGUCGGAUUAGCUAGUUGGCGGGGUAAAGGCCCACCAAGGCGACGAUCCGUAGCUGGUCUGAGAGGAUGAUCAGCCACACUGGAACUGAGACACGGUCCAGACUCCUACGGGAGGCAGCAGUGGGGAAUAUUGGACAAUGGGCGCAAGCCCGAUCCAGCCAUACCGCGUGGGUGAAGAAGGCCUUCGGGUUGUAAAGCCCUUUUGUUGGGAAAGAAAUCCAGCUGGCUAAUACCCGGUUGGGAUGACGGUACCCAAAGAAUAAGCACCGGCUAACUUCGUGCCAGCCGCCGCCGUAA